UGGGGAAUUUUCCGCAAUGGGCGAAAGCCUGACGGAGCAACGCCGCGUGGGUGAAGAAGGAUUUCGGUCUGUAAAGCCCUUUCAGUCGGGACGAGACGAAGACGGUACCGACAGAAGAAGCAUCGGCUAACUACGUGCCAGCAGCCGCGGUAAUACGUAGGAUGCAAGCGUUAUCCGGAAUUAUUGGGCGUAAAGCGAACGUAGGCGGUUUCAUAAGUCUGGGGUUAAAGACCAAGGCUCAACCUUGGGAGUGCCCUGGAAACUAUGAGACUGGAGGACGGCAGAGGAAAGUGGAAUUCCCAGUGUAGCGGUGAAAUGCGUAGAGAUUGGGAGGAACACCAGUGGCGAAAGCGACUUUCUGGGCCGUUCCUGACGCUGAGGUUCGAAAGCCAGGGGAGCAAACGG
rnacentral:rRNA from 1 species